rnacentral:rRNA from 1 species
AGAGUUUGAUCCUGGCUCAGAUUGAACGCUGGCGGCAGGCCUAACACAUGCAAGUCGAGCGGAUGAGUGGAGCUUGCUCCAUGAUUCAGCGGCGGACGGGUGAGUAAUGCCUAGGAAUCUGCCUGGUAGUGGGGGACAACGUUUCGAAAGGAACGCUAAUACCGCAUACGUCCUACGGGAGAAAGCAGGGGACCUUCGGGCCUUGCGCUAUCAGAUGAGCCUAGGUCGGAUUAGCUAGUAGGUGAGGUAAUGGCUCACCUAGGCGACGAUCCGUAACUGGUCUGAGAGGAUGAUCAGUCACACUGGAACUGAGACACGGUCCAG